GGAGGAACCGUUGUAAAUACCUGUAAUUGAGUUUGACGAUGCCAAUCGAUCCACAGGAUACAAUAAUCGGCGGGUUUCAAUUCUCCAUAGUUUGAAAAACCAAUGGCGAACCAGAAUAUACGAGAUGCUACCAAACGAUGAAGAACAAAAUCCUGAUACGUUAACACGUUCAAGGAUAUACCUCCAAUGGAACGUGGCUUCCGAACCAAGUGGAAUCGUGUGUACGCUGGUUUUAUCCGAAUAGUCUUGUUUGCUUUGCUGAUGAUUAUGCCAAGAUAGACACGAGCCGGUAUUAAAAAUUGAAAUUCGCCGCGACGCGUAUGAUUUAUUCGAUGGAAUUGUUGGUGUUCCGAUAUCGCGUUUAUGCAACAGGCAUCUCUAUGGUGUUUCACUCUCUCGUCGUUGACAUCUACUGACAGGAUCAGGACGAUUAAGAUGGGCAAAGAAUUCAUACGACGCCGGCUUGCCGCCGAUUCGUUGCGGCAGCUAUCGGGGUUCGCGAAGUAUUCGUCUCCUUACUCGCCGUCGAUUGCUUCGAAUACAGAUAAGCGCGAGAAGAGACACCUGGCAAGGAUCGAUACUGAUUUAGAAAAUAAGAGGAAGACAGAGCUAUGUCACUCGAUAUAUUGAAACAAAGAACCAGACGAGUGGGGUCAAAGGAAAUGGUAAAUCAUUGUGCGCCGGUCCUUUCUAAAAAAAAAAAAAGAACAAUUUGGGCAAGCUUCGUCCUUUAGGAUCAAUGAAUGCAUCGAUCCCUUUCGUGACCAGGGACGGUCGUGUGAUAUACAAUGGUCCAGUUACUCUCACGGACUCGCAACCUACCUACGUCGCCCAGGUAAAAGAUCUUGUCUGAGACCUUGACUUCCGGUUAGUCGCCGCGACCGUACAGACUGUAUUUAAACGGCAGGUGCACUGUCUGUGAAGUCCACGAUGAAACGCGUUUUGUAUUUGUCAGAUGUGCAAUUUACACAGAUCGACUGACUUUCAAAAUAUUAAACGUCUUACUCAUCUACAAAAUUAUCUAAGGAAGCGACCCUCUAAUUGUUUGAAACGCUAUAGCAUAUAUUUGUGGUUUGAAUUACUGCUCGCUGGACUUUGAUUAUGCAAUAUUACGAAAGGACAGUCACGAAGUGUGAAAUACAUGUAUAUCGUCUUGCAAAUCAUUCAAUUAACAUUUCAACGAAGUAUGUAGGUACAUUCCGCUGUAAAUGUUUACAUAGCUUUUACGAUCGGAUCAAAUAUUAUGAUAAGCGUAGCCUGAGCACACGUACUUUAUUUGAUAUAAACGAUUCAAAGAACGCACGAAUGUUACAAAAAAAAAAAGUUCUUCGAGUACAUUUCAAUGUUUUACUUUUUACUUUUUACUUUUUAAACUUCUUAACGGCUGGAUUUUUGAACUUUUACGAUUAUCUAUGCGACCAUGAGACGCGUAACAUUGCAAAUUAAAAUAUAAAAUUAAGCAGACCAUGCUUAUACAGAUUAGAUUUGUUACGCACUUGUACUUCGUAAUUAGAAAUUGAUAUCAGACUCGUGUACACGACGUGAGCUUCCUUGUUAUCAGAAGCCACCGAGAACCAGACGUAGCCCCACGAAAAAAAAAAGAAACUUCUGGAGGCUAAUGAAGUUGGAUUGAACUUAAUUGAAAAUUUUAAUCGCUUCAUGAACGGCUCGCUCGGAGCGUCUAGGCUCUCGUAUUACGCAAUUGCAUCGUUAAAUUGAUAGCCAGCAAUUUUCAC